rnacentral:rRNA from 1 species
UACGUAGGGGGCGAGCGUUGUCCGGAUUUAUUGGGCGUAAAACGCUUGUAGGUGGCUACGUCAAGUCGGACGUGAAAUCUCCCGGCUUAACUGGGAGGGGUCGCUCGAUACUGGCGAGCUCGAGGCAGGUAGGGGGAAGCGGAAUUCCCGGUGUAGUGGUGGAAUGCGUAGAGAUCCGGAGGAACACCAGCGGCGAAGGCGGCAUCCUGGACUGGUCCUGACACUCAUGAGCGAAAGCGUGGGGAGCGAUCCGG